rnacentral:antisense_RNA from 1 species
CUUGAUCGCCCCUAGCAGCAACGGCCGAUCCCGAUCCUGACCGUAAGUCGCCAGCAACGCCUGCGCCUC